UCUCCGUAGGUGAACCUGCGGAGGGAUCAUUACAAGUGACCCCGGUCUUACCACCGGGAUGUUCAUAACCCUUUGUUGUCCGACUCUGUUGCCUCCGGGGCGACCCUGCCUUCGGGCGGGUGCUCCGGGUGGACACUUCAAACUCUUGCGUAACUUUGGAGUCUGAGUAAACUUAAUUAAUAAAUUAAAACUUUUAACAACGGAUCUCUUGGUUCUG
rnacentral:misc_RNA from 1 species